GCGGGUGUAGUUCAGUUGGCAGAAUGUCUGCUUCCCAAGCAGAAGGUCACGGGUUCGAGCCCCGUCACCCGCUCCA
rnacentral:tRNA from 1 species